rnacentral:rRNA from 1 species
CAGUCGCCGCGGUAAUACGUAGGGUGCGAGCGUUAAUCGGAAUUACUGGGCGUAAAGCGGGCGCAGACGGUUACUUAAGCAGGAUGUGAAAUCCCCGGGCUCAACCUGGGAACUGCGUUCUGAACUGGGUAACUAGAGUGUGUCAGAGGGAGGUAGAAUUCCACGUGUAGCAGUGAAAUGCGUAGAGAUGUGGAGGAAUACCGAUGGCGAAGGCAGCCUCCUGGGAUAACACUGACGUUCAUGCCCGAAAGCGUGGGUAGCAAACAGGAUUAGAUACCCCUGUAGUCCCUGUCUCUUAUAA